rnacentral:rRNA from 1 species
GACGAACGCUGGCGGCGUGCUUAACACAUGCAAGUCGAACGGAAAGGCCCUGCUUUUGUGGGGUGCUCGAGUGGCGAACGGGUGAGUAACACGUGAGUAACCUGCCCUUGACUUUGGGAUAACUUCAGGAAACUGGGGCUAAUACCGGAUAGGAGCCCCUGCUGCAUGGUGGGGGUGGGAAAGUUUCGGCGGUUGGGGAUGGACUAGCGGCUUAUCAGCUUGUUGGUGGGGUAGUGGCUUACCAAGGCUUGGACGGGUAGCCGGCCUGAGAGGGUGACCGGCCACAUUGGGACUGGGAUGCGGCCCAGACUCCUACGGGAGGCAGCAGUGGGGACUAGUGCACAAUGGGCGGAAGCCGGAUGCAGCAACGCCGCGUGCGGGAUGACGGCCUUCGGGUUGUAAACCGCUUUCGCCUGUGACGAGGCGUGAGUGACGGUAAUGGGGAAAGAAGCACCGGCUAACUACGU